CCGGAAUUCGCACCCACUCACCGUGUGGCAGGAGCGGGGGAACCAGGUAAGCCGCCGACCGGGACGACCGGACGGCUAGGGGUGAAGUCGCGCCAGGCGCGGCCGGGCAUCUCCAGCCCGAACCCGACAGCUCACCUCGCAGGCGCCGGAGAGGAAAUUC
rnacentral:sRNA from 2 species